rnacentral:tRNA from 1 species
GCCUGGGUGGCUCAGUCGGUUGGGCGGCCGACUUCGGCUCAGGUCAUGAUCUCACAGCUCGUGGGUUCGAGCCCCACGUCGGGCU